rnacentral:rRNA from 2 species
CCUGUGAGGGUUGCUGGAGGUAUCAGAAGUGCGAAUGCUGACAUAAGUAACGAUAAAGCGGGUGAAAAGCCCGCUCGCCGGAAGACCAAGGGUUCCUGUCCAACGUUAAUCGGGGCAGGGUGAGUCGACCCCUAAGGCGAGGCCGAAAGGCGUAGUCGAUGGGAAACGGGUUAAUAUUCCCGUACUUGGUGUUACUGCGAAGGGGGGACGGAGAAGGCUAUGUUGGCCGGGCGACGGUUGUCCCGGUUUAAGCGUGUAGGUGUGUGUUCCAGGUAAAUCCGGUUCACUUUAACACUGAGGCGUGACGACGAGGCACUACGGUGCUGAAGCAACAAAUGCCCUGCUUCCAGGAAAAGCCUCUAAGCAUCAGGUAACAUCAAAUCGUACCCCAAACCGACACAGGUGGUCAGGUAGAGAAUACCAAGGCGCUUGAGAGAACUCGGGUGAAGGAACUAGGCAAAAUGGUGCCGUAACUUCGGGAGAAGGCACGCUGACACGUAGGUGAAGUGAUUUACUCAUGGAGCUGAAGUCAGUCGAAGAUACCAGCUGGCUGCAACUGUUUAUUAAAAACACAGCACUGUGCAAACACGAAAGUGGACGUAUACGGUGUGACGCCUGCCCGGUGCCGGAAGGUUAAUUGAUGGGGUCAGCGCAAGCGAAGCUCCUGAUCGAAGCCCCGGUAAACGGCGGCCGUAACUAUAACGGUCCUAAGGUAGCGAAAUUCCUUGUCGGGUAAGUUCCGACCUGCACGAAUGGCGUAAUGAUGGCCAGGCUGUCUCCACCCGAGACUCAGUGAAAUUGAACUCGCUGUGAAGAUGCAGUGUACCCGCGGCAAGACGGAAAGACCCCGUGAACCUUUACUAUAGCUUGACACUGAACAUUGAGCCUUGAUGUGUAG